GAUGAACGCUGGCGGCGUGCCUAAUACAUGCAAGUCGAGCGAACGGACGAGAAGCUUGCUUCUCUGAUGUUAGCGGCGGACGGGUGAGUAACACGUGGAUAACCUACCUAUAAGACUGGGAUAACUUCGGGAAACCGGAGCUAAUACCGGAUAAUAUUUUGAACCGCAUGGUUCAAUAGUGAAAGACGGUCUUGCUGUCACUUAUAGAUGGAUCCGCGCUGCAUUAGCUAGUUGGUAAGGUAACGGCUUACCAAGGCAACGAUGCAUAGCCGACCUGAGAGGGGGAUCGGCCACACUGGAACUGAGACACGGUCCAGACUCCUACGGGAGGCAGCAGUAGGGAAUCUUCCGCAAUGGGCGAAAGCCUGACGGAGCAACGCCGCGUGAGUGAUGAAGGUCUUCGGAUCGUAAAACUCUGUUAUUAGGGAAGAACAUAUGUGUAAGUAACUGUGCACAUCUUGACGGUACCUAAUCAGAAAGCCACGGCUAACUACGUG
rnacentral:rRNA from 1 species